AGGCCAAGGCUGGAAGCGUGGAUGGCCCCUCUAAGAAGAGAAUAAGACCCAAAGUUGGGGCAGGGUGAAGAAACAGCCAGCGGACCAGGGUUGAAUAAGCACCAGUCCCAUAAGAAGCCUGUCACAGGAGGCUGGGCCAAAAGCUCAAAAGCAUUCAAGAACCCCCAGGGCAGUAGAGCAGGAAAUCUGAGGCCCCCAGGAAAGAGCACAGGCAUGGGGGCAGCCAGACCUUGGUGUGCCUCCUUACCUGCUUCUUAGCAGCAGCAUGACCUCGCACAUGUCAUAGCCUUGGUUUUCUCCUCUGUAAAAUGGGAAUAAUCAUACCCAUUGCCCAGUGCCUAGAACUAAUAAGAAAGUGCAUGCCCAGUGUUAAGCAUACAGACGGUGUUCCACAGCUCCUUCCCUCAGCUCCUCCCCAUAGGGCCUGAGGAUAUCCUAUUCUCUUUGGAAUGGAAAUCAAUAAGGAAAGCAAACCUGAGCCUUGCCGGAGCUAAGUACUGGAUAAGUACUCGCCUUGUGACCUCUCAGGUAACCCAUGGAAACUCCUGCUAUUGUUUUACACAGAAGCCUCUGCCCCAACCAGGGGUCCCUGGCAGGGCCUACUGGGCUGAUAGGAAGGCCACUAUCAGGUGGCAGGAAGGGCACUCAUCCCCUGGUCUCCUGCAUUUAGGCUCCGAGUUAGGCUGUGGCUCUCAUGGACACGCCUCUUGCUGGGCUAAAGGGCAGUUGCCCAGCCUCCCCGUCCUUUCCCAGUGGAGGCUGACGUUACCCGUUAAAAUUUAUCAGCUAACCUUUCCAAGGAUCGGCCCACGGACAGGACAGGGAAAGACUUCUUCCGUUGUUUACCGGCUAGCCUGACGCAUUUCCUUUUAUUUCUCUGAACCUCACUGUCUCCAUCCCUGAAAUGCGGAUCAGUGAGAGCCCAUAGGUGCAUGUGCUUUGAAUAAAGCCUUCCCCACAGGUAAGGAAUUAGUCCAUAGGGGAUCCCAGCUGUAUGGGGCAUCCCUCAACAUGGGCAUUUGAAGGCCCUCCCUUGGCAUCCCCCUUGUCUCUUUAGGAAGAAGUCACACUAAUCAGACUGGUGCUAGGUGGUGAAGUCACCAGUCUGUGCCUCUCCUACAGUUCCCUCCAAGGUGGGGAAUAGGGGAGGAAAUAACCACAUCCCACAAGGGGUGGAGGUGGAGGCAGCUGGAGCCAGCUGGUUCCCUAAGGCUUUCGGGAUCUGGAAUGCACUUUCCUAAUUGUGAAUUCCUCCCAGCCACCAGCCCUGCCCCCACACCAAGAAUGUCAGCAACAGCAUCCCUCAGGGUAGGUUCCUCACACAUUAAAUAGAAGUACAGCCCCUGCCUCUUGUAGGAAGAGCUUGAGAGGGGCGAAGCCUGGGAAUUGGACCAAGGUCAACCCGUCACUCACAGAUCAAUUUGAUUUUGGCCCAGACCACUUAUUCUCAGGAAGAGGAUUCUGGGGCCCAGAGAAGAAAGCCACAUUGCCCAAGUUCACACAGCUAGAGCCAGUGCUUAACCUAGGACCUAAUCUCCCGUGCCAGCAGAUGAAUAUGAAGAUAACUACUGCAGUAUCAAAGGUUCCAUCCUAUCCUGUAUUAUAUGUUGAAGAGGAAAGAGCUAGAAGCCUAGUGCAAGGAAGAUACCUGGCUGGGGUCACAACAAGCUCAUGGUGACUGUGUCUUGGUGGAAAUCACCCUAGCUGCUGUGGACUGGGCUGCUUUCUAGCUAUGUGCCUUUAGUUAAUCAUAAAGGAGAUAAUCUCCCAGAGGGCCAGAGCUCAUCCAGGGACGUUGAAGGUCAGCUGGAAUCAGGCUUCCAAAGCCUUCCCCCCAGGAUCAAACUAGCAAUCUGGCCUCACACCUUUCCCCCCUCUCAUUCAAACUUGACCCAGACCCUUGGUGGCUUUUAACCCAAGGGAGAGAGUCUCAGACUGACCGCUGUGCUUUCCGCAUUCCCCACCGUCUCCCACUGGAAUAAAGCCGCCCCAAAGUUUCCCCAGGGGCUUCUGGCAUCCAGGGGUUACAGCAGGUCACCGGAGCAGCUCCGGGGGGGCUCCCCCAGGGGCCCCAUCCCGUGCCCUUCCCCCAGCCGAAGGCGACCUUGCAGACCACAGUGGAAAAGGUGGGGAGCUGGAGGACGGAGCUUACUUAGGCCGACUUCUGGGCGGGAGGAGCACUGGAUCCCGCAGGGCGGCCGCAACCUCCUAACCUCCUAUCCCCCACCCCACCCCUGCACCCUGCUGCACCCUGCAGCGGGCGGGGCAGGCGGAAGCAGUUUGUGCGGCACGCGGAGGGACCUCAAGGAGGUCCCAGCGCAGCCGGGCACCUAGAAGGUGGCCGGGCGGUUUUGCAGCCAGGGUCUCGCAGGUCGGGAAGUUGGCACCGCAGGGACAGUCCCACCGGGAAGCAGAGAAGCCACUCGGUUCCAUGCGUCUGCAGCCCCACCCCAGCCCCAUGAGGGCUCCGCGGAGCCUCUUGGGCCCUCCGGUGCUUGUGUCGGUCUCUAGGCCUGGAUCUACGUCGGGCUGUGGCUCUGUCUCGGAGCCCAUCUCCGUGGAGCUCUCUGUCCACCUCGGGCUCUGGCGUGCGGCCGGCUGUCGGGCCGCGGUCCGGCCCCUGGCCUGGGGCGCCAUCUCGUGGGCACUUGGGGAGUUGUCGCGGCUCGCGGACCGGACCAGCGACAGACGUGCGGCGAGACGCCGGAAGAAGCGAACGCGCCCCUGCCCUUCGAAUGUUAGAGGAGUUUUGAGCCCAAAGCGACCUCGAAUAAGCACACUGUCCACGAGGGAUUCUACUUGAGCUAAGGAAGGGGCCUCUCGGGCCCGCCCCGUUCCGGGACUGACCCUUCACUGUGCUGCCUGAGGAAGGUCAGAGACAGCCAAGCAGUAGCCCCCCCGCUAGGGCCCGGGACAGCCUUCUCGGCCCUUUCACUCUCUCACUGGCCAAGGCCCUCGCCGCUUCAGCGUGGCCGGGGUCCGGCUCCCCCCCUGGGAGAGGCGGGCUUGACUCUCAUUCCAGGGUGUUUGGAAGCCUGGAUACUGUCCAUUGCACCUCCACCUUCGCCCUUCCUUCAUCUCACCGUUCCUGAUGUUCCUGGAAUCUCUACACCCACCAUGGGGCCCUAACUCCGGAGCCGAGGUCAAGAGUCGCACGCUCUAGCUCUACGGACUGAGCCAGCCAGGCGGCCCGAGAAUGGUCUCUUUUUGAGGUUCAGGAGGCAGAUGGAAAAGGAUUCUAGGGCCCGCGGUAUUGGGUGCACCGGGGCCAAACUCCUCGGAAGGGAGAGGGAGUAGGGUGCACCCGUCUUACCAGCCCCACCUACCCAGAGGCACAAAAAGGGGAGGCAUUUUCCACUCUGGAGCCCGGGAAAGGGAGCCCCGAGUCCAGGUGCGGAGUGGCUGGGGCGACGGCCGGAGGCGAGUGGCCAGCAGAGGGAGCCCGGCCCCUGGCCUGGGAGGCUGCCGGCGCGCGGGGAGCGCGGGGGGCUCGAGCGGCUCCGC